rnacentral:rRNA from 1 species
UGCAGUCGAACGCACCGCAAGGUGAGUGGCGCACGGGUGAGUAACGCGUGGGAAUGUACCGUUUAGUACGGAAUAGCUUUCGGGAAACUGAAAUUAAUACCGUAUACGCCCUUCGGGGGAAAGAUUUAUCGCUAAACGAUCAGCCCGCGUGAGAUUAGGUAGUUGGUGGGGUAAUGGCCUACCAAGCCUACGAUCUCUAGCUGGUCUGAGAGGAUGAUCAGCCACACUGGAACUGAGACACGGUCCAGACUCCUACGGGAGGCAGCAGUGGGGAAUAUUGGACAAUGGGGGCAACCCUGAUCCAGCCAUGCCGCGUGAAUGAUGAAGGCCUUAGGGUUGUAAAGUUCUUUUACCGAUGAAGAUAAUGACGGUAGUCGGAGAAAAAGCCCCGGCUAACUUCGUGCCAGCAGCCGCGGUAAUACGAAGGGGGCUAGCGUUGUUCGGAUUUACUGGGCGUAAAGCGCACGUAGGUGGUGCCGCAAGUCAGGGGUGAAAUCCCAGAGCUCAACUCUGGAACUGCCUUUGAAACUGCGGUGCUGGAAUCUCAGAGGGGGUGGCGGAAUUGCUAAUGUAGGGGUGAAAUCCGUAGAUAUUAGCAGGAACACCGAUGGCGAAGGCAGCCACCUGGAUGAGUAUUGACACUGAGGUGCGAAAGCGUGGGGAUCAAACAGGAUUAGAUACCCUGGUAGUCCACGCUGUAAACGAUGAAUGCUAGUUGUUGGGAGCUUAGCUCUCAGUGACGAAGCUAACGCAUUAAGCAUUC